rnacentral:pre_miRNA from 1 species
CUUGUACUCCCUCCAUCCAAAAAUACUUGUCAUUGAAAUGGAUGUAUCUAGAUGUAUUUUAGUUCUAGACACAUCCAUUUUGAUGACAAGUGAUUCCGGACGGAGGGAGUACUUG